rnacentral:rRNA from 1 species
GGAAUUUUCCGCAAUGGGGGAAACCCUGACGCAGCGACGCCGUGUGAGUGAUGAAGGCCUUCGGGUCGUAAAGCUCUGUCAGGUGGGAAGAAGGGUUUGACGGUACCACCAAAGGAAGCACCGGCUAACUCCGUGCCAGCAGCCGCGGUAAUACGGAGGGUACAAGCGUUGUUCGGAAUUAUUGGGCGUAAAGAGCGUGUAGGCGGUUGAACAAGUCAGAUGUGAAAUCCCUCGGCUCAACCGAGGAAGUGCAUUUGAAACUGUUCAGCUCGAGUACGGGAGAGGAGAGCGGAAUUCCCGGUGUAGAGGUGAAAUUCGUAGAUAUCGGGAGGAACACCGGUGGCGAAGGCGGUUUUCUGGCCUGAUACUGACGCUGAGACGCGAAAGCGUGGGGAGCAAACAGGAUUAGAUACCCCUGUAGUC